ACAUCCAAGUAUGACAAGUUAGUGGGACCAAUCUGGGGAGGGAAGCAUCAAGAGAACAGGACAGACCCACAGAACUGGGCCCACCUACCCUUUCUUUGGGUGUGCCCCGGGGCAGCCUCCUUGUUCCUGCCUUGCUGACACUGCCUGCUUCCUUCCUUCCAACCUCCUAGGGGGACGGUCUCAGCGUUUCUGUUGUUAGGGGCAGGAGCUUUGUCCUCACGGCCUGGCCAAAAUGGAGCCUGCAAUAGGUGCUUAUACUUAUAAAGACCUGCUAGAUUCAGUGCAGCUGUUAGCAAGUGCUGGUCCCAACAGACCCCUCCCAGUGGGCAGAGGCAGGGCCUCCAGGACAGCAGCAUCCAUCCCUAAAACAAACCACCUGGAUUUCUCUUACUUCUCCUCCCAGCCUCUGUCCACUCCCCCAAACUCUGACACGGUCUCUCGCCUAGGCUUCCGCUGCCUCCCUGCCUCUCACCCCUCCACCCUACCCUCCAUCUCCAUAGGUCUGGAAGGAACUUGGAGAGCCACAGAGCUGACAUCCAGUCACCUAUUGAAAGCAGCCCUUAUCGGCACCCUUCCUUUUUCCAUCCUAAGGCCCGCACCUGACCCCUGCACCUCAGGACCAGGCUCUGCAGCCUCCCUGAGCCCCUGUCCGACCCCUGCUCCCAGGACUGUAUCUGUUGUCAUGAGACAGGAGGAGGUUGUGCUAUUUCCCACCACCCUUGUCUUGCUGGCCCCUCUGCCUGGAAUGGCCUUCCUCUGCCCAGUGGCAAACAGACUUUCAAGGUUCAGUUCCAGUGUCCCCGCUGCAAUCCCCCAAACAGAGUGAGUGGUUCCUUCCAACUACUUCCAAGAACUGGAAAGUUCCUGUCUUGUCGCGCGCACUGUGGGACCACAGCAUUGGUUCCCACCCAGCUGUGAGUUCCUGCAGGGUCAGGCAUGUGCUGGGUCCACGUUGGCACAGAGCAGGGGCCAGCAGGUGCUUGCUGUGAAGAGGAACGUUUAGCAGACCCCGGGAGAGGAGACAGUGUUACCACACUUGCUCUCCACUUUGCCUGCGGGUGCCUUUAAGAAGCAUAGAUUUCUAAACCUUGCCAAGCCGAUCCGCUGAACACCUCUACAUUCCCGGCUGCCUUGUUGGCUCCCUGGGACACGGCAGCUGUCCUGUGUCCGUAAACAGAUAAUAGCUCCUCCGACUCUAGGUGUCUCUCCAUGGCCCUUUGUGGCCAGGCCUGGGCUGCGUACCCAUGGGCACCCCCUCCCAUUCAAUCUCACAGAUAGGACGCCAGGCUGGACAGUCCUCACCAACACCCCUCCAGCCAGCUAGCCAGCCUUCUUUCAACUCUGCAUUGCCCUGAGUUUGUGUGGGGUUGUUGAGUUCCCAGCAGGUCCUCCGGAUGUGCAUGUAGGUAGUCAGGGGAAUGGAGUGGGAGGAUAGGAGCCCAGACACUUGAAAUGGUGUUCCAUGCCUUUCUAGACCCCAGGCCCUUUCCUGCAUGAUUUUAUCAGCACAUGCUCAAUCCUUCACAGUUUACAAAGCACUUCUAGACCCAUCCAACCCCACCAAGGAUGAGGAUCACUGGCACUCUGUUUUCCCAGGCGGGGAAGUGGCUUCCAGGAGGCUUAGUGACUGACCAAGGUCUCGAGGUCUUGUGCUGGUGAAGUGCAGAGCCAGGAUCCACCUGAGGCCCCCGGCUGGCUCCAGAUCCCACACUCCUUCCUCGGCACUUCCUCGGUUCUGCACGGUGCCUCAGCACUCCCCAAAACAUCCCAUUUUGCAGGUGUGGAAACCCACGUCCCGCAGAGGCUGGGUGUUUGCUCCACUCAGUUCUGGGGACUUAGCUUGAGGCUCUCUGAUCUGUUCUCCUGCCGAGCACCCCAGGAAGGGCUCCAGGUCUCCCAGCCACUUAGUGAGAGUGGCAAGUCCUGUCUCACUUGAUCUUUGGGAGCAUAAGACGAGAUCACAGAAAAUGUCAUCAAUGUGAAAGUGUUUUGUAAACCAAGGCGCUGCUCAAACGUAGUGUUAUCUUCAGCCUGGCUACUGGCUUCCUACAAAGUGUGAAGGGAUGAAGGUAAAAGCUCUUUCUUGAAUAAUGUUAUCCAUCAAGACAGAUGAAACCACACUGGUCAGCUCCUCCUGCCCUCCCCCCCACCCCCCACCUCCCCUUCAUUCCCAGAUGUUUAAAGACAUUCGUAGGCUGAGAAAUGAUUCCUGCUGCUCCUCUGACACCCGGAAUGUGCCUUGUGAUUGGCAGAGUGUCCCUCCAGAAUAGCUUAAUUUUUUCCCCAUUUCUUGACUAAUGUCCUCUACUCCUUGGCCCUGUAAUUGAGAAUUGGGCUUGCAAUGGCCAGCACACGAGCAUCUUCCCUGAAAGCUCAGAAAUGAUGGCUCUCCCGGCAGGGAGCUGGCAUUCCCCAUGGCUGAGAGCGCUGUCCUCCUCGCAUGGAGGGAUCAUUCACCACCGUGUGUAUUAACCUGAAAUCCACCUCACCUUGAUGGAUAUUUUUGCCAAUCUCCCAUUUGGUUUGAUGAAUGUGAGAGAAAUUUUCCCCUAUGGCAUAUGAAUUUCUCCCUCACAAAAUAAGUCUAAAUUUUUUUCUGUUCCUGGAGAUGAAGGAGCUCUGCAGAAUAGGCCACGUCUUCAUUUACCUUUAUCUCUAGUAGCCAAAAGUCUUGAUUUUUAUAUAACUGGAAAAACCACGCAGCAUAAUGCUUAUACACACACACACGCACAUGCAUGCACACACACGCACGCACACACGAUGCACACAUAUGCACACGCACGCACACACGUACACAUGCACACACGCAUGUGCGUGCACACGCCACACACACACAUGCACACACAUACACAAUGCACACACAUGCAUACAUGCACACACGCACACGCAUGCACACACGCACGCACGCACACACACGUGCGCACACACACACUGAGCACCGUUGAGCUUUGGUAGAAAAUGGCAAAAUUACGAUGUUUUUCUCAUUUCUGGUGAUUGGCUUCCGAGUGUUAUUUAGAGAGCGGAGUGGAGAGGGCUCUUUGCAGCCCUGCGGUAGUGUCUUGUGCUCACCAAGAGGCUCACGGGAAACAUGUCCUCCAACAUGAAGGUGUUUGCUAAGAUUCCAACCAGGACCCAGUCUUGGGCCACAGAACACUGUCUGCUCCCCCAAGCCCCUCGCAGACCGCAGGGAUAUUUUCCCUUCAGAACCUGUUGCAUCAGAAUGGGGAAAGCGAGGGCUGAGAAUCCCAGAAGAGGCCGUGAACUGUUCUGGAAAAGCGAGGGCUUUGCAGUCAGACCUUCAUAUGCACUUUGUUCUAUCUGUUGCGCUCUCCCUAAAUGACCACGGGCCAGUGACUUUACCUCUCUGAUCCCUGCUCCUUGCCUAGAUAGUGGGGAUCACGUCGUAAUGUAUGUAAAGAACCGGGUGCGGGACUUGGCACCUGGGAAGUGUCUUAAUACAUGUCUGUCGAGAAAAGGAAGGGUCUCGACGUGCGGAAACAAGACGGAUGCCAGGAAAUACGUCUGCCCACCUCCACGCCCCUGACAGCGGAGGCUCCUGGGGGUCUGGUGAGAGGCCCCACGUGCUCCAGCCCCCUCCGCUCUGUGCUGAGCUCUGCCUUUAAGAGACUGCAGCUCCUGCCUCUUAAAAGCCUUUCAAAAUUCUUUAUUAAAUUUUCAUGGCGCAUAAAGUCAAGGUUCUGUUACUUGGCCUCAGUUGUCUUGGCAACUUCAUAAAACGCAAUAAUAAAACGAAGCUGAGUGUUGCUAAACACAGGCUCAUCGUAUAAACGA
rnacentral:sRNA from 1 species